UACAGGGGGGGCAAGCGUUGUUCGGAAUUACUGGGCGUAAAGGGUCUGUAGGUGGCCAACUAAGUCAGACGUGAAAUCCCUCAGCUUAACUGGGGAACUGCGUCUGAUACUGGAUGGCUUGAGUGUGGGAGAGGAAUGCGGAAUUCCAGGUGUAGCGGUGAAAUGCGUAGAUAUCAGGAGGAACACCAGUGGCGAAGGCGGUGCUCUGGGCCGGAACUGACGCUGAGGAGCGAAAGCGUGGGGAGCAAACAGG
rnacentral:rRNA from 1 species